rnacentral:rRNA from 1 species
GACGGAGGAGGCUAGCGUUGUUCGGAAUUACUGGGCGUAAAGCGCGCGCGGGCGGUUAUGCAAGUCAGGGGUGAAAGCCCGAGGCUCAACCUCGGAACGGCCUUUGCGACUGCAUGACUAGAGACCGGGAGAGGAGAGUGGAAUUCCCAGUGUAGAGGUGAAAUCCGUAGAUAUUGGGAAGAACACCAGUGGCGAAGGCGGCUCUCUGGCCCGGACCUGACGCUGAGGCGCGAAAGCGUGGGGAGCAAACAGG